UACGAAGGGGGCUAGCGUUGCUCGGAAUCACUGGGCGUAAAGGGUGCGUAGGUGGCGCCGUAAGUCGGGUGUGAAAGCCCUGGGCUCAACCUAGGAAGUGCACUCGAAACUCCCGAACUGGAGUCCCGGAGAGGAAGGCGGAAUUCUCGGUGUAGAGGUGAAAUGCGCAGAUAUCAGGAAGAACACCCGUGGCGAAGGCGGCUCUCUGGGACGGUACUGACGCUGAGACGCGAAAGCGUGGGGAGCGAACAGG
rnacentral:rRNA from 1 species